rnacentral:rRNA from 1 species
CAGCCGCGCGGUAAAAACCAGCACCUCAAGUGGUCAGGAGAUUAUUGGGCCUAAAGCAUCCGUAGCCUGUUGUACAAGUAUGCGGUUAAAUCUAUGCGCUCAACGUAUAGGCUGCGGUAAAUACUGCAGAACUAGGGAGUGGGAGAGGUAGACGGCACUCGGUAGGAGGGGGUAAAAUCCUCUGAUCUAGUGAUGACCACCUGUGGCGAAGGCGGUCUACCAGAACACGUUCGACGGUGAGGGAUGAAAGCUGGGGGAGCAGACCGGAUUAGAUACCCGGGUAGUCCCAGCUGUAAACGAUGCAGACUUGAUGAUGCAAUAGCAUAGAGCUAUUGCAGUAUCGCAGGGAAGCCGUUAAGUCUGCCGCCUCGGAAGUACGUACGCAAGUAUGAAACUUAAAGGAAUUGGCGGGGGAGCACCACAAGGGGUGAAGCGUGCGGUUCAAUAGGAGUCAACGCCAGAAAUCUUACCCGGAGAGACAGCAGAAUGAAGGUCAGGCUGAAGACCUUACCAGACAAGCUGAGAGGUGGUGCAUGGCCGUCGUCAGCUCGUGCCGUGAGAUGUCCUGUUAAGUCAGGUAACGAGCGAGAUCCCUGCCACUAGUUGCUAUUAUUACUCUCAGGAGUAGUGGGGCGAAUUAGUGGGACCGCCACAGUUAAUGUGGAGGAAGGAAGGGGCCACGGCAGGUCAGUAUGCCCCGAAACUCUGGGGCCACACGCGGGCUGCAAUGGUAGUGACAAUAGGCUCCUAACUCGAAAGAGAGAGGCAAUCCAAAAACACUACCACAGUUAUGACUGAGGGCUGUAACUCGCCCUCACGAAUAUGGAAUCCCUAGUAACUGCGUGUCAUUACCGCGCGGUGAAUACGUCCCUGCUCCUUGCACACACCGCCCGUCGCUUCAUCGAAGUUUGCUUUUAGUGAGGUGAUGUUUUAUGGCAUAUCGAACU